GUUUCUCCUGUUUCCCUCGUUAUCCAUUUUUAAAAUUGGUUUUCAAUUGCGCGCUUUAUCAUUUUAAAAUUCUCACUGUGAGAAUAUAAACUUGCUUUUAAAUCCACUCGCUUAGAACUCGACCUGCAGCGAUUCCCCUCCCAGUGAGCAGUCUGGGCAGGGCCCAGUCACCAGAGCUGACCACUGACCCUGCUCUUCCCAACAUGCCUGCAUUAGAUACAGUUCAGCAGUGUGAAGAAGAAAUCUGCCUACAGUUACAAUAAAAUUAAUCAAUGGAUAGUCACAUGCACUAGAAGUUUCCAUAACUAAGGGGCAACACAGAAACCCAAGCUUUGUUACUCUUUGCUGAACAGUGUGUGGAUUAGAUAACUAGUAAGGCUGUCCCAUAUGUCCCUAACCAAAGGCAGCAAUUGUGAGCCCAGGAUGAAAAGGCACUGACACCUGUGGAAUUGCAUGGUGUUAAGACAGAAGAGAGAAAUUGUGGUAGACAGAGGUUUCAAAAGAAUGAAAAGAAAGGUUCUAGGUGCCUGCUUAAAAGAAUGGAAAAUGGUGCCUAGGAGAGAUAUUUGCACUACCAUGUUCAUGGUAGCAGUGAGACAGACUCUAUGACAGACUACAAACUGACAGUUCAGGAGAUGAAGCCUCGCCAAGAGAACUGGGCAAGUCCAGGCAAGCCCAGGCAAGUCAGUUACUGAAAAACAAAACAAAACAGGCUUCAGGCAGCCCAUCAGAAACUGCUCUACCAUCAGAAGUUGCCCCACCACCUGGCUUGAGGCAAAGACAACCCAGUUAGCAGCAGUUUGCAGACCUUCUCAGCAAUAGUUUCCAGAUUUCCCCAUAAACAGUUUCCAGCCCCCACACGCCUAGAGAUGGGUCCAACAGAUCGAGAUAGAGGUCACCUACCCUGGGAUUCCCCUAAUGUGUUUUAAAUUGGGUCUGCAAGCUCGCUUCGAGGUCUCUCCUUCUUUGUAGAUGGUAGACUCUAGCAUGCUGGACCUCUGCAGAAGACACUCUUUGCCCUUACAUAUUAUGUGAGCCGGGGCAUCAUCCUUCGGUGAGUCAUGGAUCCUUACAGAAUUACAAUAGGCACCAGCUGUAGCAGCCAUCAGAGAAUGAACGACUCAGCAAACAUAAGCUAAGUGUACACAGUGGAACAGUAUUCAGGCUUAAAAGCCAAGAAAGGGCAAAUCUCACUUAAGUGGGGGUGUCUACAGUAGUGGGGAUGACACCGACCAGUGUACACAGGCGACCGCCAGGGCUGGGCAUUGUCAGUACUUGGUGGGGGCAGAGUUUCAAUGGGGAAAAUGGGAAGUUCUGGUUAAUGACAAUGGUGGACAGUAAGGUGAUAUGCUCCUGGGUCUCAGAGCUGUGCGCUCAAACACGUGCACGGACACAUGCGUGCACAUCCACACAAGUGCAUACAAAACUCCCACCACCACUAUCUGCUAAGUCUUUGAAAGUUUGGUCUCGGAGGAAAAAAAGGAGGCAAACUAGAAGAGCUUUGCAGAAACAGUUAACAUCUUUCGAUCAUUUCGUGGCGUGUUGUUGCCCUUGUUUUGUGGUGUGUCUUUGUUUCCCUUUUUAUAGUAAAUAUGCGCGACAUUUGUGAUUGGUGGAAAGGGAACACAAACUGUGAAAUGGAUAGCUAAGGAUGAGAGGCCAGAGUUCCUCUGCCACCCCUCACCCCAGGGCCAGGGAGCCCCAUCCCCUGAAGUUUGUUUCUGCUCAGAAGCCUGAAACACCUCGGCCCUUCUUCCAUGCCCAGGACCUAUGCUAACUCCGGGUCGGAUGCUAUAUUCUGACCUGGAACGAUUGGUUUUGCUGCUGCUGCUGCCACUGCCACCGCCACCGCCACCGCCACUGACUCCUGGGGACUCAGGAGGGUGCUGACUCCGGAGGUAACCUGGUAGGCCUCGCCUGUUCACUUUGAGAUGCAGAACAAAGCCCUUUACAGAAAAAGAUUUGGAUUUUCUGUGCUAAGCCAUGGAAGUAGUUUUCUAGACAAAAGGUGACUUCAGAACCUUCCAUAUCGACAUUUACAGCCACGGGACUGGACUGGCCAACAGUGUGAGCAUUUGUGAGCAUGCUUGAACGCUUCUUCGCAACAGGAGUGCAGCCUCGUUUAUUAUGGGUCAGAGGAAGGGAACAAUAGGGCGCUAAGAGGAUGUCUCGUCUGCCCCGCUGCCUGGGGUAAGCCCAAAAUAACCCGCUGAAUUGGAACUCUGGCCUCUUUUCUCUGGCCCCUAGGGAAGCCUUUCACAACCAUCCUCUAUUAUCCGACCCAUUUUUAACAAAGUUUAGUAUCAUAUCAGAAAGCAUCCCAUGUGUCAAAACUCUAUCCCCACUGCUGCUGACUAACCGUUUAUUCUCAUGUGCAUACCGAGCAAACGUGGAGGAGAGUCCCUACCACCGCCACUGCCACUGCCGCCGCCGCCACCGCCGCCACCACCACAGUUCACCUGAACAUUUAAUCUGAACUCCAGCCAGUGCCUGGGUCAGUCGAUGGAACCUGAUGUCUGCCCUACCUCCACCAGCCUCUCCUGCCUGUUAACACAAAUAAAGGUUUAUUAUCUCCCUCCUCACCUUGUGAGAGGACCAGA
rnacentral:sRNA from 1 species